rnacentral:rRNA from 1 species
GAUGAACGCUAGCGGGAGGCUUAACACAUGCAAGUCGAGGGGCAUCACGAGGUAGCAAUACUUUGGUGGCGACCGGCGCACGGGUGAGUAACACGUAUGCAACCUACCCUGUACAGGGGGAUAACCCGGAGAAAUUCGGACUAAUAUCCCAUGAUGAUAUUGAGGGGCAUCCUUUAAUCUUUAAAGCUCAGGCGGUCCGGGAUGGGCAUGCGGAACAUUAGCUAGUUGGCAGGGUAACGGCCUACCAAGGCUACGAUGUUUAGGGGACCUGAGAGGGUUAUCCCCCACACUGGUACUGAGACACGGACCAGACUCCUACGGGAGGCAGCAGUGAGGAAUAUUGGUCAAUGGGCGCAAGCCUGAACCAGCCAUCCCGCGUGAAGGAAGAAGGCGCUAUGCGUUGUAAACUUCUUUUCCAGGGGGUGAAUAAUUCCGAUGUAUCGGGAGAUGACGGUACCCUGGGAAUAAGCAUCGGCUAACUCCGUGCCAGCCGCCGCGGUAA